rnacentral:rRNA from 1 species
UACGUAGGGCGCAAGCGUUGUCCGGAAUUAUUGGGCGUAAAGAGCUCGUAGGCGGUUUGUCGCGUCUGCUGUGAAAACCUAAGGCUCAACCCCCAGCCUGCAGUGGGUACGGGCAGACUAGAGUGCGGUAGGGGAGAUUGGAAUUCCUGGUGUAGCGGUGGAAUGCGCAGAUAUCAGGAGGAACACCGAUGGCGAAGGCAGAUCUCUGGGCCGUAACUGACGCUGAGGAGCGAAAGCAUGGGGAGCGAACAGG